CUUUACACUUCCUAUAUGAGUCACAGGGACCACAUUACCAUUUGGAAGAGUUAUGGAAUAUGCAACCUCAGCGCGAAUUGAUGAGUAGAAUGGAGUGCCACAUGAUCUGUUGCUCCUGCUUCGAGUAUCCAAGGGACAUCUAACUUAUCAGGAUACUUUGGUUUUAUAACAGACAUACAUAGAGACAUACCAGAUAGUUAGUUUAUAUUCUCAUCUGUGGAGGUGGAGCUAAUGACACUUUGAGCAUUAUUGGCUAAGUGAUUUUUGUUCUGAGGGUUAGUGACAGGUUUUAGAAGAGUCAUGAGCUGUGAAAUUUGUUCUUUACUUAACACUUGAGAUUUGCUGUUUCCAGCCUCUUGUGCAGGAGAUAAAAAUGCAGCUGCUUACUGAUGCCUUCUCUUUUCCACUGAGUUUGUGACCUGGGGGAUGGCCACGGAGUUUGAAGCAUUUGUCCACUUGAUGACCUGGAAUCUGACAGUGGGUACAAAAUGGUUUGUCUGGGUUUGCCUUGAAGCAUCUAUCAAUUGAGUUUCCUGCAAUUACAAAAUGUGCAGUAAUAUCUGUCUUUCUUAUGUGCAUAAGUAUUUUGUCUUCCCUUUUCUUUGAAAUUUUCCCUUGCCAAAAGAGCCAUGGAUUCAUGUAAGGAUGCUUCAGUUGAUAUCUCCCUUCUUUUUUCUUCCUACUGUAUUAUUGAGUAGACUUCAUUCAAGUUGGGAAAUGGUUUAAUCAACAGGAUUUGUGCCUUGCUUUCCUUAUAAGAAUUAUUUAAGCCCAUAAAAAAUUUCAUUACCAGAUCCCUUUGUUGGUUUUGAAUAACUAUCCUCAAACCCCCACAAUCACAAUUAGGCACAGCUUCAUAGUUCAUGAUUUCGUCUAUAAGUGUCUUGAAUUUGGAGAAAUAAAUGCUUACAGGAUCUUGGUUUUGUAGUAACAUGGUUAUGGCUUGUUUGAUUUCGAAGAUUGGAGGUGCAUUUUGCUGGGCAAAAUGUUGCUCCAGUUCAGUUCAUAGUUGAUGUGCCGUCUCAGCAUAUGUGGUGCUGCAUUUGAUGUCUAUUGCCAUUGUGUUAGGCAUCCAGGUUAUAACUAUGUCGUUGCAACGGAACCAGUGUUCCAUGAGUGGGUCGUUUGGAUUUGCUGGUUCACUUAAGCUUCCAUCAAUGAAUCCCAGUUUAUUUUUGAUUCGCAAUGCUCUUUUCAUUGAUCGUGCCCAUGAAUGAUAAUUGUUAGCAUCCAAGGUAUGAGUAACAAGUAGGGCUCCAGUAUUGUCAUUGCUUCCAAUGAAAUAUGGGCUGUUAGGUUGAGUGGGAUCAAGAUUUGUAGUAUUUGACGUGUUUCCAGAUUGAGCAUCAUUUGGAUUUUGGUUUUGAUUUUGAUUUGUACUUGUAUCUCCAGCACUUGAAUCCUCCAAGGCUGGCUCUGAUACCAUUUUAGAAAUCAAUUGAAAAUAGAGGAAAUGAAUGAUUGAAGCAAAAAGAAGCGAAGAAUUGUAUUGAUUUUCUGCUUGCUUAAACUGUACAGAGUAUCAGAGUAUAUAUACACACAAUAGGCUAUUCUAGAAGGAAUAAUUUACACGCACAUUCUCACAACAGAAACCAU
rnacentral:lncRNA from 1 species